rnacentral:rRNA from 1 species
UACGUAGGGUGCGAGCGUUAAUCGGAAUUACUGGGCGUAAAGCGUGCGCAGGCGGUUUUGUAAGUCAGAUGUGAAAUCCCCGGGCUUAACCUGGGAAUGGCAUUUGGGACUGCAAGGCUUGAGUGUGGCAGAGGAGACUGGAAUUCCUGGUGUAGCAGUGAAAUGCGUAGAUAUCAGGAGGAACACCGAUGGCGAAGGCAGGUCUCUGGGCUAACACUGACGCUCAUGCACGAAAGCGUGGGGAGCAAACAGG